CCUUCCGGAAUUAGAGACCGGCGCACGGGUGCGUAACGCGUAUGCAAUCUACCUUUCACAGAGGGAUAGCCCAGAGAAAUUUGGAUUAAUACCUCAUAGUAUAUAUGAAUGGCAUCAUUUAUAUAUUAAAGUCACAACGGUGAAAGAUGAGCAUGCGUCCCAUUAGCUAGUUGGUAAGGUAACGGCUUACCAAGGCAACGAUGGGUAGGGGUCCUGAGAGGGAGAUCCCCCACACUGGUACUGAGACACGGACCAGACUCCUACGGGAGGCAGCAGUGAGGAAUAUUGGACAAUGGGCGCAAGCCUGAUCCAGCCAUGCCGCGUGCAGGAUGACGGUCCUAUGGAUUGUAAACUGCUUUUAUACGAGAAGAAACACUCCGACGUGUCGGAGCUUGACGGUAUCGUAAGAAUAAGGAUCGGCUAACUCCGUGCCAGCAGCCGCGGUAAUACGGAGGAUCCAAGCGUUAUCCGGAAUCAUUGGGUUUAAAGGGUCCGUAGGCGGUCAGGUAAGUCAGUGGUGAAAGCCCAUCGCUCAACGGUGGAACGGCCAUUGAUACUGUCUGACUUGAAUUAUUAGGAAGUAACUAGAAUAUGUAGUGUAGCGGUGAAAUGCUUAGAGAUUACAUGGAAUACCAAUUGCGAAGGCAGGUUACUACUAAUGGAUUGACGCUGAUGGACGAAAGCGUGGGUAGCGAACAGGAUUAGAUACCCUGGUAGUCCACGCCGUAAACGAUGGAUACUAGCUGUUGGAAGCAAUUUCAGUGGCUAAGCGAAAGUGAUAAGUAUCCCACCUGGGGAGUACGUUCGCAAGAAUGAAACUCAAAGGAAUUGACGGGGGCCCGCACAAGCGGUGGAGCAUGUGGUUUAAUUCGAUGAUACGCGAGGAACCUUACCAAGGCUUAAAUGUAGAUUGACCGUUUUGGAAACAGAACUUUCGCAAGACAAUUUACAAGGUGCUGCAUGGUUGUCGUCAGCUCGUGCCGUGAGGUGUCAGGUUAAGUCCUAUAACGAGCGCAACCCCUGUUGUUAGUUGCCAGCGAGUCAAGUCGGGAACUCUAACAAGACUGCCAGUGCAAACUGUGAGGAAGG
rnacentral:rRNA from 1 species